GAUGAACGCUAGCUACAGGCUUCACACAUGCAAGUCGAGGGGUAACAUUUGGGGAGCUUGCUUCCUUUGAUGACGACCGGCGAAUGGGUGAGUAACGCGUAUCCAACCUGCCCCUGGCUGGGGUAUAACCCGUCGAAAGGCGGCCUAAUCCCCCAUGGUGUCUUCUGAGGUCAUCCGAUGAAGACUAAAGGUAUUUUUUUUCCGGCCGGGUGAUGGGGAUGCGUCCGAUUAGCUUGCUGGUGAGGUAGCGGCUCACCAGGGCAUCGAUCGGUAGGGGUUCUGAGAGGAAGGUCCCCCACACUGGUACUGAGACACGGACCAGACUCCUACGGGAGGCAGCAGUGAGGAAUAUUGGUCAAUGGGCGCAAGCCUGAACCAGCCAAGUAGCGUGCAGGAUGAAGGCCCUAUGGGUUG
rnacentral:rRNA from 1 species